rnacentral:rRNA from 1 species
UACAGAGGGUGCAAGCGUUAAUCGGAAUACUGGGCGUAAAGCGCAUGUAGGUGGUUGAUUAAGUUUGAUGUGAAAGCCCUGGGCUUAACCUGGGAAUGGCGUUGAAUACUGAUUAACUUGAGUCGGACAGAGGGCUGUGGAAUUUCCGGUGUAGCGGUGAAAUGCGUAGAGAUCGGAAAGAACACCAGUGGCGAAGGCGA